UCCUCCAGAGAGGGCCGAGAUCUUUCCCAGGGUGACAUCCUCAUGAUAAAAUAGGUACAGGAUCGGGGAGGAGCCUCUCAGGGCCUCACAAUGAAGCUCCAGCAGGUCCCCCACCACAGCCUGGGCCCUGGGAGUCCUGAUGGAAGAGACACUCUUAUCCAGAGACACUGAAGAGCUAAAGACAGGAGAACUCACCAAGCUGUCCACUGAGAGGAGCUGCAAAAAAUAAGAGCCAGAGAGAUUUUUGGAAUGCCAGUCAUACUCCAGGGCAAGGCAAUAGAAAUCCAGCAGUGAGUGAGAGACACAUCAUCCCUGUCCACAUGAGGCUGUUGGAGACUUACCCAAACUUAAGUGUUUUACUGAGAACAACAAAUGAUUCACCAUUCACCUGAAUAUUUUGAUUUCCUUAGUCUUUGUAUUGUUUUAAAUGAAGCUAAUAUUUUUGUGAGUGCUUUCUAUAUGGUAUGCGUUUACAUGGGUUAUUUUAUAUAACCUUGUCAAUAACCCUAUGAGGUAAGUACUAGGAUUAACCCCAUUUUAUAGGCCAGGAAUCUGGGAGCUAGCAGGUGGCAGAAUGAAGUUUUGAACCUAGAUCCUGUUUGACCCCAGAGCCCAUGUUGUAAACUCUGCCCUCUCAUUGAAAGGACCUGGCUAAUGCUCAUAUUAUAUUGGUGCCACAGUGAGAUGUGUUCCUACCUCAGGAAUUAGAGUCUAUGCACCUUACAACUUUGGGGUCCUCUUUUCUUAUAUCAUGCCUGCUCCAUUUCUGCUCCUCUAGCUCCUAACUUGCCUCUAAGUUUCAUGAAGUCUUUACUAGCUAUUUUGCUUGUAGUUUAUUGUCUGCCUACAGCAUUCAUUGGUAACUUUUCCUGGACAAUUAUUUAACUGGGAUCUUGUUGCAUAGCUGUUUGAAAGCACACUGGCCUUGUGGGGAGCCCUUCUAUGUCAUGACCUUCCUGAGCAUAGACAUGGUGCCUCCUGUGGACUUACUGUUCAGCACCUGGUACAAUACUGUGCAUAGCUAUUACUAAACACAUUUGCUGAACGAAUAAAUAAACAUAUUUCAUUCUAAUAUUUAAACUUUAGUAAAAACCAACCAGUUGGCACCUAUGAACUGAUAGAGACUUAUCCAUACCCACAGGCACCAAGAGAAAGUCAUAUGCUUUAGAUUUGUCCUUGCUUUGCUCACCUACCCCUCUCCAACCUCCCCCUCUCCAUUUCUUAAUCAGCCAAUCGCUGCAGUGGUUUGCAAUUGUGUCCAAAAGAAACAGGUGUCUUUCGUGUUAGAAACCUUGCCCUCUCAAGGAUCUGGCCUUGUCAUACAAGGAGUAAAUACAUCUCCUCUGCAGAGAGGAGAGCAGGCUCUUCUAUAAAUAAGAAAAUAUGAAAAACAAACAUGAAACAUUUUCCAGCCUUUAUGAAGUACUUUUUGAAGAAAAAAAUUAAUGAAAUUUUAAGUGUCAUGGUUACUAUUGUUUCCUACUCUGUAAGAUUGAAGAUUUCUUCCAGCUGUGACCAUUUUCUUCUGCCUCAGUAGAAAGCCCUGAGCUACAGAGUAAAGUUCAAAAAUCUAGCCUCUUCAUGUAGGAAAGAGUCUAUCAGCAGGGGCUGAGCCCCAGGAAAGUACCAGACCUGCGGUGGAGAGAAGCUGUCUCGACCCCACCCAGGCAGGGCCCAUGUUGAGCCCGUUUACUCACCCAGGAGCAGUAAUAUCACCCGCAGCAGCAUGAAGACCUGGACCACCAAGGGCUGAGACCAAAAGAGAAGUUUCAUCAGGAAUAACCGGUUUGGACUUGAUCUUACAGUCAGGACACUGCACACCAGCUCCAGGGAGCACAUCUGAGAAGCUACACUUUCAAAAAGAGCAGAAUGCAUUAGUGAAUUAGAAAAAAGGAAGUGGGAGUACUCAUAUUCAACUACUAAUCAAAGUUUCCUGCCCGAUGAUCAAAGAAGGAAAAAAGAAGUUAAGGUUUUAAAAAAUCACAUACCCUUGACCCCACGUUUCUGCUAGUGGGAAAUUACCCUGAAGGAAGUAUCUGAAGAGAGUUCUAUAAGAACGUUUAUUGUAGCAUUCGUUAUUGCCUAAACACUGGGCACAAAACUUAAAAACCAUGCUACGGGAACUGUUUAAGAAUAUUCUGCUUCAUCUGUGCAAUGACAGGCAAUCAUUAAAAAAUAAGGUAAAUCGGGAUAUACUAAGAAGGCAAGACCACCCUGUUUGAUGUGAAGAGGAAAAAAGUAAGAUAUAGAUUGGUUUUGUAGUAUUAUCCCAUUGGGUAGAUAUAAAAAAUAGGAUACAUGUGUACAUCAACUCUUUUAAGUAUACUUUCUUCUUUUUCUGGAAAGUACACACAAAAAUAUUGAUUAUGCUUGAAGAGCAAUAGGUGGGAAAAAGACAUUUAAUUUUAUGUAUUUCUGUACUGUUUGAUUUUUUUUUAAAUUACUAUGUGAAUGUAUAGCUCUUAGAAUUUUCUAAAAGUCAAGUUUCCAUCCUGGUAUACUGGUCAACAGAGGUUUCUAAGACAUUAGCUGCCACGAGGAGUGCCAGUUUCUUUCAAAAAUUUCCCCCACCGUUUCUCUCUGGGCCCAUACCUUGGUCUUCCUAAGGGGGCAUUUAAUUUUAUAUCUACAAAUUUUACAUCACUUUAGGUGUGUUAUGUCACAUGUGACCCACUGCAUCCUGAGGCAAGAAAGCCAUACAGGGGUUACAGGGGUGAAUAGAGAUUAAUCCGACUAAGUCCAGGAGGAGAACUUCAAAGGGAACACAGUCUUUACCUACUUUUGGUGCUAAAACAAAUAGUGCUGCUAUGAACAUUCUUGUAUACAUUUCUUGGGGCAUAUGCGCAUACAAUUCUAUUGGGUAUAUAGCUGGGAGUGGAAUUCCUGGCUCAUAAGGAAUGGAUAUUUUCAGUUUAGCAAGUACAACCAAAUUAUUUUCCAACGUGGUUGUGUCAAUUCACACCACCCCCGCCAACCAACGUAUGAGAGCUAUCAUUGUUCUGAAAUUCUUGCAGAUACUGAUGGCAUCUAGUAAAAUCCGGCCAUUCUGCUAGCAUUAUCUCAAUGUGGUUUUAAUUUUUAUGUCUGGUGAAUUUGAGACUGAGCAUUUUUUCAUAGUCUAGUUGGUGAUGUAGAUAUCCUUUUUAUGUGCAAUCUCUGUUCAAAUCUUUCCUCAUUUUUCUCUUAAGUCUUUCUUUUCCUGUUUUGUAGUUAUUUUAAACUGUGAAUAUAAACCCUUCGUUGGAUAUGUGUAUUGCAGACGCCUUCCCUCGGUCCGUAGCUUGCUUCCUUGCUCACCGACAGUGCCUUUUGAGGAACAACUGUUCUAAUUUUGACACAGUUCAGUUUAUCAACUUUUUCCUUUACGGUUAGAGAUUUUUGCAUCCCUUUUAAGAAAUUUUGUCCACUCCAAAGUCAUAAAGAUGUUCUCCCAGGUUAUCUUCUAGAAACUUUAUUUAUUUUUUUUUACCAUUUAGUUUAUAUUUAUAAUAACAUUGCAGUUGAUUUUUGUGUAGAGUAUGAAUGUUUCUAUUCACUUUUAAUGUAAAUAUAGGGAAUUGACCCAGCCCUAUUGAUUGAAAGUUCAUUUUUUCCCACGGUACCGUGCCAUUUCACCUUUGUUAUAAAACAAAAAGCCAUGUAAGUCUGUUCUCGGAAACUAUUUUCUUGCUCAUUAUUCUAUUUUGGCUCUCCUCAUGCCAAUAGGACGCUGUUCUGAUUAUUGCUGUUUUAUAAAACUCUUAUUAACUGGUAGUGUAAGUCAUAAAAUGCUGUUCCUCAAAAUUGUUGUGGCUAUUUUUGGCUCUUUGAAUUUUUCCAGACAUUUGGAAAUCACCUUGUCAAUUCCUGCCCCCUCUCUCCCAAAAGCCUAGCAGACUUUU